UUCAGGCCUCAGCUCUCAGCACCAUCCUUGUGGUUUCAUUUAAUCUGCAAUUAAAGUGGAUCCCAGGAGGCAGCGGGAACUGAUCUGCAGCAUCCGAGGCACAGUCACCAAAAGCAGACACUGCAUCCUUCACUCAUGCAUCCACUACAUGGCUUUUAUAUCCAUCUCGACCUCUGCUCUCAAUUACUUCUGUAUGUCUGUGAGGAGUGUGGGGCUCUCUUGAUAGGCUUCUGCCUUCCCUCCCCUUCCAUCUCUUCUGCCUACCUUCUCUUCUCUGCAGCAGGGCUCAGGUAAUGGGAUUGAGAUCCCCAGACACAAGCCUGGGGGAGGUGAGACUAGUAAAAGGAGGAUGCCAGGGACAACAGAGGCCCAGCUAAGGUUGGCCAGGGACUAGUAUAGACUAUUCUGGGGCCACAGAAGGGGGCUUUUCCCCAGUGAAGUGUCUGGAACGCAAGCUGGAAAGAAACUGGAUCCGCUGAGGGGGGUAGGAGGAGGGUGAGUGAUUAAUGAGGGAGAUUGAGAGAUUAAACUUUGGUUCUGGGUUUGAGGGGGUACUCCACUGUCUCAAAGACUUCCCCAACCCCAGCUGCAAAGCACUGAAGCUCCCUGCUUCUGAGUCAUUUCACUGGUCUUCCGGCCAUACCUCCCACUACAGUGUGAAAUCUUCCUGCCAUAAGUCCUUCCCGGGAGAGUCACCAACUGUGUCUUCACUGAAGCAUGGCAGGGUCCCAGAGUUUUGCUUCCCCAGACAUUCUCAAUCUCUCACAUCCUCAGAUUCCCCUCAUUGUCGCUUGCUUCAGACAUGUCAGGGUCUUGUACUCCCUCCCCUUGUAGAGAUCCUCACAUUCUGACCUUUACUCCUUUGAGAAGGCAGCUUAUUACCAUUUAAGAACACUUUUCAAACACCUCUCUUCAUCCAUUUUCAGAUUUCCCAUUCUCGGUUCCCAGCACAACCCCCGGUCCCACUCCCGAAACCUUCACCUCUCACCCAAAGAUUCCUCCACCAAGGCGGGUCCAAGAUCGCUACCCUCCCCCGCUUUAUUGAGGUCUGUUCAAUAAAGGACCAUUAGUCUCAGGAUUGCCCGCUCUGCACAUCUGUCUGAAUUGAGUGUAUAGCGGGUUUGAGAACACCCAGAAUAACCUCCCCGGGGCUGUGGACAGGAAGAACACUCUUAGAAAUGUGCUUGCCCUCCUCCUCUCUAUGUUUAGGGAAAAAUAUUGAAUCGGAGUGAGAGGACAG
rnacentral:lncRNA from 1 species